NAGAGCUUUUUGGUUUUUGGCUCGGUGGAGAGCGUAAGUUCUCAGAGCUUUUUGGUUCAGGUUUGGUCUUUGGCUUGGAUUGGUUUGGUUGGGUUGGCAGCGUGGCCGUCAGUGGAGAGUGUAAAUUCUCCCUGGCAGUGGUGACAGACGUGUCCUAAUCCACAGGCCACCCCUCUUAAGGGACGCCUUAGAGGAUUCGGGGGGGGGUGGGCGAAAGUGCCCCCAGUUGGUAGAGGGACAAGAGUGCCCUCGUUUGUAGUCUGCUGCCAACCUGUUUGGUUUCGCUGGCAAUUCUUUUUCUCAGAUUGGAUGCACAGUCUGUCUUUAAUCUUUGCCUCUGAACUUGUGUUAACCGUUUACUGUUUGUCCUUGUCUCUGUGUCACGUUUGUAUUGUCCCUGUCUCUGCCUGAGUAACUCCCAGUAUGGGACAAAGCCAUUCCAUGCCUCUGUCCCUGAAGCCUUUCUUGGUCCCUGCCUCCACUCCGACCCCUUCCCCCAAGAUCCUAUCACUCAAUCCUUCUGCUCCUCCCCCUUUUCCCUCCAUUCUCCUUGAGUCACAAGAUUGUAGAUCUUGGGGUUGUGAACUAACGGGAGCUGCAUGAUGAUCUUUGUGUGUCAUUUUGUCUGUGUCUCUGUUAAGUGUGAUGGCAUUGUUUUACUUUGGACUGAUGCAGAGUCCCAAAUUCCAAACGGCCUUAGAUGUGUGGAAGUAACUUUAGCUAAAUUUUAACCUAAUGCUUCUCCUGUGAGGGACCAAAAGUUAAUAGAACCGCCAGCUUUUCUGUUCUCACUUUUUACACCUCUCUUAGCUAUGUUUUAAAGAACUUUGAUAAACUUUACCCCCCUUUGUUAAGCGAGAUUAGGGAAGCAGUGUUUUCUUCCUGUAGUUGGCUUGAGCACGCCCACUGCAGAGGGAAAUGCCUGGGGUCUAAAAACUUUGAUAUCUUGCUUAAACUUUUCUCAAACUCGAAACAACUGCAAGCAGAAGAUGAGCUUUUUGGGAAGCUGACUACUGAAAAGUUAGGAGAUGUGAGAAAUGCCUAGUGCCUGGGGUCAGACCAAGCCAGAGGAACUAAUCCUGUAAUUAAAAGGGAAACUGAGGAUUCCCAGCAGCUGCCAGAGCCAUUUUUGCUUUGGGGAAUUUCCUCAUUCUUCCCUGCACUGUAAGGAUUGCUCCAUCUCUGUCCACUUAAAAAGAAGGGUCACUGAAUGUAGUAAAGUCAGUCAC
rnacentral:lncRNA from 1 species